rnacentral:rRNA from 1 species
CAGUCGCCGCGGUAACACGGAGGGGGCUAGCGUUGUUCGGAAUUACUGGGCGUAAAGCGCACGUAGGCGGCUUGGUAAGUUAGAGGUGAAAGCCCGGAGCUCAACUCCGGAAUUGCCUUUAAGACUGCCGAGCUAGUAGGUGAGAGAGGUAAGUGGAAUUCCGAGUGUAGAGGUGAAAUUCGUAGAUAUUCGGAAGAACACCAGUGGCGAAGGCGGCUUACUGGCUCAUUCUAGACGCUGAGGUGCGAAAGCGUGGGGAGCAAACAGGAUUAGAUACCCGUGUAGUCCCUGUCUCUUAUAC